GACUCGCUCGACGGUAUCUCUCGAGGCGCGGAGCCGCGACUAGUUCGCAUCCGACUGUCCGCAAGCGCGGCCGGUCUCCCGGCUGUCGGAUCUGAUGCCGGCACCGGGCCCGGACGGCUGCUGGCGGGCACGUUCUCGGAUAGACUCUGACUCACGCCUAUCGGCGACGCUAUAGCUUUGGGUAAUCUCAGGACCCGUCUUGAAACACGGACCAAGGAGUCUAGCAUGUGCGCGAGUCAUUGGGACUCUUAAACCUAAUGGCGCAAUGAAAGUAAAGGCCGCCUUGCGCGCGCCUAGGGAAGAUGGGUCGCACCGCGGUGUGGCCCCGCACUCCUGGGGCGUCUCGUGCCCAUUGCGGGCUGAGGCGCACCGAGAGCGCAAAUGCUGGGACCCGAAAGAUGGUGAACUAUGCCUGGUCAGAACGAAGUCAGGGGAAACCCUGAUGGAGGUUCGUAGCGAUUCUGACGUGCAAAUCGAUCGUCGGAACUGGGUAU
rnacentral:rRNA from 1 species